AGUGCCAGAGGAAGAAUUGGCGAUGACAUUUACCGUCUGGCGAGGGAGCAGCCGUGGGUGGUGGCAGCAACUCAUCGAGCGGCGUGGAGGAGGGAGCCGCCAGGGUGGACCACGCCUACAGCCUGCACGUCACCGCCCGCCAUGCACUAAGGGCUGUGGGCGUGCAUGACCGCCAACCAAAGACUCAGCCCAGAGGAAGAGCCAGGCCAGCACCACCACAGGGACAGAGGACGAUGAGGAGAGUGUUCCAACGCUGCUCCAACUCAAGGUUCAUAGGCCACACGCUGAGCCCUGCCAAGAUGUCCUGCCAGGUGGUCGGCCUCCACCCCUACACCUCCCACUGGUUCCUCCUGCUGCCCCACUACAAGGAUGUGCCAAGUAUGCCCUCCAGCCUGCAGUCCUUGGAUGAUUGCAAGUAGCGUAAGUUAACAAAAGAGUAAAGCAACAGUUAAUGUCCGCAUGACAGAUGGAGUGAGGUGUGGGUGCAGUAAGGUGACAGGUUACUGGUGCGUGCCUAGUACCGCCGGUAAAACGAGGAUCAAGCCUCCACCUCACCCAUCGUGAGUAUUAGGGGGGAUUCUGGGGCUGUCCUGUGUAGGCCACUUGGCCUCUUCAAGUCUGCCUGUGUUUCUAUGUUCUUAUGUUCUUAUGUAAUGAAGUCAUUUUCCCCCACAGCUUAGGUUACCAGUAGUGUAAGUUAAGGGUAGUAAUUUCCUCUUAUUUCUCUCUUUACUGUAAAAUUUCCAUGUCCCUUUCUUCCUUAAAGGUACAUGGUGUUCUCUUCUAACUAUUUCCUGCACGUUGCCGGAGGGAGAGGUGGGUGGGAAGGAGCCUUCAUCUUUUCUGUCCUGUUCUACCACACGUAGAUUACUAGUAGUAGCGGUAGUAAACUGACACCCUCGCCAUAGACCGAUAGGUCUUCUAGUGUCUGUUCUUCCUAUGUAUUCCUCCUCUUCCCCCUCCUCCUCCUGUUUUACUACUCUCCAUUAUCAAUCAGUCAGCCAGCACCAAGCUUAACAAGGACAAAAGGCAUAUUUAAAUGCAUUUUUACCAUGAUAAAAAAGUAUAAAAAUAUAGUGGAAAAUUACAGAGUUGGCAAUGAUUAAAUCAAAUUGAUU